UACGUAGGGGGCGAGCGUUGUCCGGAGUUACUGGGCGUAAAGGGCAUGCAGGCGGUCAGGCGCGUUUUGUGUGACAGCGGGUGGCUUAACUACCCGAGGAUACGAAAGACGGCGUGACUUGAGAGCGCGAGAGGGACACGGAAUUCCGGGUGGAGUGGUGAAAUGCGUAGAGAUCCGGAGGAACACCGAAGGCGAAGGCAGUGUCCUGGCGCGUAUCUGACGCUGAGGUGCGAAAGCCAGGGGAGCGAACGGG
rnacentral:rRNA from 1 species